GGGAAUGUGGCUCAGUGGCAGAGCUCCUACCUAGCAAGUCUGAGCUCCUGGGUUCAAUCCCCAGUACUUCAA
rnacentral:tRNA from 1 species